rnacentral:rRNA from 1 species
CCUACGGGUGGCAGCAGUAGGGAAUCUUCCACAAUGGGCGAAAGCCUGAUGGAGCAACGCCGCGUGGGUGAAGAAGGUCUUCGGAUCGUAAAACCCUGUUUUUAGAGAAGAAAGUGCGUGAGAGUAACUGUUCACGUUUCGACGGUAUCUAACCAGAACGCCACGGCUAACUAUGUGCCGGCAGCCUCGGUAAUACGUAGGUGGCAAGCGUUAUCCGGAUUUAGUGGGCGUAAAGGGAACGCAGGCGGUUUUUUAAGUCUGAUGUGAAAGCCUUCGGCUUAACCGGAGUAGUGCAUUGGAAACUGGGAGACUUGAGGGCAGAAGAGGAGGGUGGAACGCCAUGUGUAGCGGUGAAAUGCGUAGAUAUAUGGAAGAACACCAGGGGCGAAAGCAGCUCUCUGGUCUGUAACUGACGCUGAGGUUCGAAAGCGUGGGUAGCAAACAGGAUUAGAUACCCUUGUAGUC